AGCAGUAGCCACGGGAAUACAGAGGGUGCGAGCGUUAAUCGGAUUUACUGGGCGUAAAGCGUGCGUAGGCGGCUUUUUAAGUCGGAUGUGAAAUCCCUGAGCUUAACUUAGGAAUUGCAUUCGAUACUGGGAAGCUAGAGUAUGGCAGAGGAUGGUAGAAUUCCAGGUGUAGCAGUGAAAUGCGUAGAGAUCUGGAGGAAUACCGAUGGCGUAGGCAGCCAUCUGGCCUAAUACUGACGCUGAGGUACGAAAGCAUGGGGAGCAAACAGGAUUAGAUACCCGAGUAGUCCCUGUCUCUUAUAC
rnacentral:rRNA from 1 species